AGUGAACGCUGGCGGUAGGCCUAACACAUGCAAGUCGAACGGCAGCACAGUAAGAGCUUGCUCUUACGGGUGGCGAGUGGCGGACGGGUGAGGAAUACAUCGGAAUCUACUUUUUCGUGGGGGAUAACGUAGGGAAACUUACGCUAAUACCGCAUACGACCUACGGGUGAAAGCAGGGGAUCUUCGGACCUUGCGCGAUUGAAUGAGCCGAUUUCGGAUUAGCUAGUUGGCGGGGUAAAGGCCCACCAAGGCGACGAUCCGUAGCUGGUCUGAGAGGAUGAGCAGCGACACUGGAAAUGAAACAAGGUCCAGAAUCCUACGGGAGGCAGCAGUGGGGAAUAUUGGACAAUGGGCGCAAGGCUGAUCCAGGCAUACCGCGUGGGUGAAGAAGGCCUUCGGGUUGUAAAGCCCUGUUGUUGGGAAAGAAAAGCAGCAGGUUAAUACCCCGCUGUGCUGACGGUACCCAAAGAAUAAGCACCGGCUAACUUCGUG
rnacentral:rRNA from 1 species